CACUAUAGGGUGGCUAUGGAUCUCACUGGGGUGCAAAUAGGUCUGAAGUUCAGUCUGCGGGUUGGUCUGUUGAUCUCACUGGAGUAUGAAUAGGUCUGAAGUUCAGUCUGCGGGUUGGUCUGUGGAUCUCACUGAGGUGCAAAUAGGUCUGCCGUUCAGUCUGUGGGUUGGUCUGUGGAUCUCACUGGAGUAUGAAUAGGUCUGUAGUUCAGUCUGCGGGUUGGUCUGUGGAUCUCACUGAGGUGCAAAUAGGUCUGUAGUUCAGUCUGCGGGUUGGUCUGUUGAUCUCACUGGAGUAUGAAUAUGUCUGAAGUUCAGUCUGCGGGUUGGUCUGUGGAUCUCACUGAGGUGCAAAUAGGUCUGCCGUUCAGUCUGUGGGUUGGUCUGUGGAUCUCACUGGAGUAUGAAUAGGUCUGCAGUUCAGUCUGUGGGUUGGUCUGUGGAUCUCACUGGAGUAUGAAUAGGUCUGAAGUUCAGUCUGCGGGUUGGUCUGUGGAUCUCAAUGGAGUGCAAAUAGGUCUGCAGUUCUGUCUGUGGUUUGGUCUGUGGCUAGGCUUGCCUGUUGGCCAGGUCUAUCCUCGCCACUCUUAUUCCCCACCCCAUGGCCUAGCGUUCUCAAGAGGUUCUUUAAGUAGGCGGAUUUGUAUCGCCAGUUUAGCCACCGUUUAAAAGUGCUGCUUAAACAGAGCUAAUUCUCCUUUAAUAUCCUGCUUUAAUAUGCAGAGUAAUCCCCACAUGCUGCAUUCUGAGGAUCGUUCCGGUAAGACAUCUUGGAGAUUCUCUGCAGCUCGUGGGGGAGCUCUGUUCUCUCAAGAAGGCUCUUUGCUCUUUUUCUGAUAGCAUAUUUUUCAUCUAAAACUGACACACCUAGCUAAAUGCUGUGAGUCAGCCUCCGAUAAGGCCAGUCAGAGCUGAGGGGGCUGGUAGACUCAGACUGUCUUGUUGUGCAUUUAUUGGUCCUCCUGCCGUUGUCAUGGCAGCUAAUUGGGCAAUAGGUCCAGACAUAAUUAAUGGAUCAAUGAUGUAAUAGCUUUACCUGAUACAAUCUCACGGCAUGAACUAUUAGAUUAAGAUGAGAAACAGUUGAGGGCCUGGCUAGGAUUGUGCAUGCGUGUGUGGCAGUGGAGUGAUGUUUAGUUUGACAAAAAAUAAAAAUGCAGUACUACAUGACGUGAAGAUGAUGUGAGGAAGGGGAGGAGGUUUGCUCGCUGUAAACAUUCGAGUCACGCAAGAUCACUGCCACUGCCUGUGAGACAGAGGGAGUCCAACCAAACGCAGCUCUA